rfam:Triticum aestivum genome assembly, contig: Triticum_aestivum_CS42_TGACv1_scaffold_502633_6BL
AUACUACUCCCUCCGUCCCAAAAUACUUGUCGGAGCAAUGGAUAAAAUUGGAUGUAUCUAUAACAAAAAUACAUCUAAAUUCAUCCAUUUUUCCGACGAGUAUUUCCGGACGGAGGGAGUACUCG